ACCGGCCUGCAACGCAGGUGAGAACGGUAACCGUUCAUGAACCAACAUUCAAUGAACAGGGGGCCUGACUCGUAUAAUAACGGCUCGGUGUGCGAGGUUCCGCCAGUACGGAAAUGCCUAAAGAGCCGCGGCGGGUUCCCACCGUCUUAGGACGGGUUCAGAACGGCCCGGUCGCACGGCCAAGUGGGUCGGUU
rnacentral:other from 1 species